UACGUAGGGUGCAAGCGUUGUCCGGAAUUAUUGGGCGUAAAGAGCUCGUAGGCGGUUUGUCGCGUCUGCUGUGAAAACUCGGGGCUUAACUCCGGGCCUGCAGUGGGUACGGGCAGACUAGAGUGCGGUAGGGGAGACUGGAAUUCCUGGUGUAGCGGUGAAAUGCGCGGAUAUCAGGAGGAACACCGGUGGCGAAGGCGGGUCUCUGGGCCGUAACUGACGCUGAGGAGCGAAAGCGUGGGGAGCGAACAGG
rnacentral:rRNA from 1 species